GAUGAACGCUGGCGGCGUGCCUAAUACAUGCAAGUCGAGCGAACAGACGAGGAGCUUGCUCCUCUGACGUUAGCGGCGGACGGGUGAGUAACACGUGGAUAACCUACCUAUAAGACUGGGAUAACUUCGGGAAACCGGAGCUAAUACCGGAUAAUAUAUUGAACCGCAUGGUUCAAUAGUGAAAGACGGUUUUGCUGUCACUUAUAGAUGGAUCCGCGCCGCAUUAGCUAGUUGGUAAGGUAACGGCUUACCAAGGCAACGAUGCGUAGCCGACCUGAGAGGGGGAUCGGCCACACUGGAACUGAGACACGGUCCAGACUCCUACGGGAGGCAGCAGUCGGGAAUCUGCCGCAAUGGGCGAAAGCCUGACGGAGCAACGCCGCGUGAGUGAUGAAGGUCUUCGGAUCGUAAAACUCUGUUAUUAGGGAAGAACAAAUGUGUAAGUAACUAUGCACGUCUUGACGGUACCUAAUCAGAAAGCCACGGCUAACUACGUG
rnacentral:rRNA from 1 species